rnacentral:lncRNA from 1 species
CCUGGUGACAAGGCUGGAGCUGAUGGGACAUUAUUCUGUUCCUGUGUGGAGGUAUUGGCAAGUUGGCCAGUGUGCCUGCUGGUGGGGCUGUGGCCGUGUCUGCCGCCCCAGGGUCUGCAGCUCCUGCUGCUGGUGCUGCCCCAGCCGCAGCGGAGGAAAAGAAAGACGAGAAGAAAGAGGAGUCCGAGGAGUCAGACGACGACAUGGGAUUCGGCUUAUUUGAUUAGGGUCCUGCCCACCCCCACCCACUGGCAAAUAAAACCCUUUUUGUGUAUCUGUGGAGUGGUGUG